rnacentral:lncRNA from 1 species
GUGAGGGAACUUCUAUACAGUGACAUGUUCCAGCUGCUGCAACAUUUACUCAGUACUCAUGGUUUUUGUUUCUCUCAUAGAAGAACCCAUCCCCAGAUGACUUUACAACCUGUUUUUCCCCAACCAGACUUCAAAACGAACUGACUUCUAAAAGGCAACUCAUGUCCCUCAACUGACUUCUAAAAGGUAACUCAUGUCCCUCAUGCCGUGCCCACUCACGUCACCCUCUCUCAGCUCAGAAGAAGCCAAAAUGUCUGAUGCCUCUUUUCUUACAACAAUGAAGCCAAAAAAUAAAGAGACUAUCAAUAUAAGUAGUUAAUUAAGUCAGGUAAAAUCAGGAAUCCAGUUUUGGGUGAGUUCUAAAAAUUUGGAGACUCUUACCAGAGGGAUUAAAAUUCCCUCAGUGCUCUUCCCCUACCCUAUCAAAGAUUUGGAAGGGACACAUUAAAAAAGGGAGAAUGAUAGACCCAACCUGAUCAUUUAUUAAAAUUGGGAGCCAUUUUGCCACAAAACCAUGAAAAGAUAAUUUUGGCUUUACUAUAAAUUACUGCAAAUUCUGAACCUGCUUGUAAUGCCUGCCCGUGCCUUGAACUCACCCACGCCUGGCUCUCUGACCAGUUAGCAGCCCUCUCUGAAACUUUAGUGACACCUCAUUAAUAUUGGCCUUCCCUGGCCAGACAACAACCCUCGCUGAGGCUCUAAUGGUCCUCAUAAAUUCUUAUGAUGGGGCCAGCAAAAAAAAAAAAAAAAAAUGUAAACUAGCAUUAGUGUGAUGCUUGUCAGAGUUCUGUUAUCUGUAACCCCCCUUUUGUGUAACUUUCUGGGCUAUAAAGCUGGGCUGUAGGAAAGGUGGGGUUGCUGUCUUGUUUCCGCCAAUUUGAGAGGGAGAGGCAGCCCGGCCAGUGGAAAUAGUAAGCUUGCUUUAAUUUAAUUUUAAUUGGAGUCAGUGGUCUUUUCUCGUGUCCUGGUCUAACAGGUAAACACUCCACAAACAUGGAGCUCUGCCGGCCUAAAACUUCUUGGGAUACUGCCCCUGACCUUGGGCACUUGAAAUAUACAUUUUUGUCAGGAGCUUUAGCUUCUUUGUAUUGAGACCAUCAAAGCUGGGUAUGCAUCUAUGUGACCUGGAGGACACGGUUUCUUAUUUUCCAAUGAACAUGAGGCAGCAGUGCUGAAUUCUCUCUUUGUAGGGAAACUGUGGCCACUGAAGGCUAAGUGUCUCCCCAUGUGCACUCUGAAGCCAUUUGCUCAUCUUCCACUUUUCGUGGUGUUUCUUGCUGCUGCACUGGGAGUUUAGUAUUUGCUUCACAAAACACAAGGAGAACAACAGGGACUCAGUGCUGGAGGGAUUUCUCACACGUGUGGUCGGUGAAGGGCUGCAGGAGAAUACACCAACCAGGCUUCUAUCCCACAUAGCUUGCCCCCUUGACCAUUGCAACCUGAUUCUGAAUAUUGCCCUGAAACCUCUUCAUAUAACAAGAUGCCUUUUUAUGGAGUGGUCAGACAUAUAAGGGAUUACUGGCUGCACCAUGUCAGCCACAAGUCAUUUGGAAGUCAAUGGCAUAUCCACAUGGCCCCACCAGAAAUGUUUUAUCACACACCUGCACACCACAGCUCUGGGUCACUACUCAGCAGACUCCAACAUACAGGAAUCUUUCUUCUACACCAUUUUCAUGAAACCCAGUCAAUCAAGGCACUGUCUGGUACACUCAUGAUCAGCAACAGGACAUCCAAAGGUAUUCCAGUGCCACCUGGUCAUAAGAGUUUCAAAAAUUUCAUGGUAUUUAUCUAGCCAUUUUUCAAGGAUGAAGUUGGAGACACUGUGGGCUUCAAUUCAUUCAGGAAACAUUAAAUGGUG